rnacentral:rRNA from 1 species
UACGAAGGGGGCUAGCGUUGUUCGGAAUUACUGGGCGUAAAGCGUGCGCAGGCGGUUCUUCAAGUCCGUGGUGAAAGCCCGGAGCUCAACUCCGGAACUGCCAUUGAAACUGUAGAGCUAGAGUACGAGAGAGGUGAGUGGAAUUCCCAGUGUAGAGGUGAAAUUCGUAGAUAUUGGGAAGAACACCGGUGGCGAAGGCGGCUCACUGGCUCGUAACUGACGCUCAUGCACGACAGCGUGGGGAUCAAACAGG